UACGUAGGGACCAAGCGUUGUUCGGAUUUACUGGGCGUAAAGGGCGCGUAGGCGGCCCUGCAAGUCAAAGGUGAAAUCCCUCGGCUCAACUGAGGAACUGCCUUUGAAACUGCGGGGCUUGAGGCCGGGAGGGGGUAGCGGAAUUCCCAGUGUAGCGGUGAAAUGCGCAGAUAUCAGGAGGAACACCGAUGGCGAAGGCAGCUCGCUGGGACGGUACUGACGCUGAGGCGCGAAAGCGUGGGGAGCAAACAGG
rnacentral:rRNA from 1 species